GUCGUGUGGAAAAUGCUUUUGCUCGUCAAGGAAAGAAAUUUGACUAUGACUAAAACAGUUGAGGUUUGCAGGUGACCAUCUUAUGGAGUUGGGUGCUGGGGUUGAGCUAGCAACAGCUGCUGUGCCACACCUUUUCCUUCCUUUGGCUUGUGCUGCUAAUGUGGCAAAGAAUGUUGGUGCUGUAACAUCAACAUCAACUCGUACACCAAUUUACAAAGCUUUUGCUAAAGGAGAAAACAUUGGGGAUGUCACAGCUAAAGGGGAAUGUGUGGGCAACAUUGCAGAUCUGCUGGGAACUGGACUAAGCAUUAUGAUCUCAAAAAAAAAUCCUUCGUUGGUUUCUACAUUUGCCUUUCUGUCAUGUGGAUACAUCCUCAGCUCUUAUCGAGAGGUUAAAUCUGUAGUGUUGCACACAUUAAACCGUGCUAGAUUUACAGUAGCAGUGGACUCCUUUCUGAAGACAGGACGUGUUCCUUCACUGUAUGAGGCUAAUAUGCAGAAAAGAUAUUCGUUUUGCCAUGGUUGAAGGACGGGCAUGUUGUCCUUGGAUCAAGGUUUAAGGAUGCAUUCCAAGACCCAAGUGCAUAUCUGGCAAUAAAACCCUUUUUUGAGAAAGAGAGAUAUAUGGUGACAUACAAUCCUUCCAAGGGCAAAGUAUAUGCGUUGCUCAAGGAUCAGGCAAAGUCCGACGACAUUCUAAAAGCAGCGUUUCAUGCACAUGUGUUGUUGAAUUUGAUUCAUUCAUCAAACAGUAGUAGGUCCUUAGCCUGGAAGCAGGAA